UUUUGAACGGUUCAACUAUUCUGGAACCAAUGGCGCUGAUGGAUUUUAGGUUUGAUGCACGGUUUUCGAGAAACUGGGAGUUUAUUGGAUUUACACUUAUAUUUAGGUGUGGUUUUGGAAAGUUGGAGAGAGGUUGGUUUUUGUCGGAAAUUCAUGACCAAACGAGGUGAAACAAAGUUGUGAGUUUGUUGUCUUUGUCGUGCUGAUCGCACUGGUGCGGCCCGUUCGUAAAUCUGACGGACGGAUCUUCUAAUAUCGCAUGUUGAUCGAGGAGGGGUCACUUAUGGCAAAACGGUAAUUUUGCGAAAA
rnacentral:lncRNA from 1 species